UACGGGGGGAGCAAGCGUUGUUCGGAUUUACUGGGCGUAAAGGGCGCGUAGGCGGCGCAACAAGUCACUUGUGAAAUCUCCGGGCUUAACCCGGAGCGGCCAAGUGAUACUGUCGUGCUAGAGUGCGGAAGGGGCUACUGGAAUUCUCGGUGUAGCGGUGAAAUGCGUAGAUAUCGAGAGGAACACCUGCGGCGAAGGCAGCACUCUGGGACGUGACUGACGCUGAGACGCGAAAGCGUGGGGAGCAAACAGG
rnacentral:rRNA from 1 species